rnacentral:rRNA from 1 species
AGUGGAAGCGUCUGGAAAGGCGCGCGAUACAGGGUGACAGCCCCGUACACAAAAGCGCAUGUGCUGUGAGCUCGAUGAGUAGGGCGGGACACGUGGUAUCCUGUCUGAAUAUGGGGGGACCAUCCUCCAAGGCUAAAUACUCCUGACUGACCGAUAGUGAACCAGUACCGUGAGGGAAAGGCGAAAAGAACCCCGGCGAGGGGAGUGAAAAAGAACCUGAAACCGUGUACGUACAAGCAGUGGGAGCCCCACCACCAAAGCAUUCUCUGGUGUUGAAGGCCCUGCAAAGCAGCAUCGCGGUGGCGGAGCGUCGUUUGCGACGCCCAACACACAAAACAAGCGGUGAGUGCUUUGGGGUGGGGUGACUGCGUACCUUUUGUAUAAUGGGUCAGCGACUUAUAUUCUGUAGCAAGGUUAACCGUAUAGGGGAGCCGUAGGGAAACCGAGUCUUAACCGGGCGUUAAGUUGCAGGGUAUAGACCCGAAACCCGGUGAUCUAGCCAUGGGCAGGUUGAAGGUUGGGUAACACUAACUGGAGGACCGAACCGACUAAUGUUGAAAAAUUAGCGGAUGACUUGUGGCUGGGGGUGAAAGGCCAAUCAAACCGGGAGAUAGCUGGUUCUCCCCGAAAGCUAUUUAGGUAGCGCCUCGUGAAUUCAUCUUCGGGGGUAGAGCACUGUUUCGGCUAGGGGGUCAUCCCGACUUACCAACCCGAUGCAAACUGCGAAUACCGGAGAAUGUUAUCACGGGAGACACACGGCGGGUGCUAACGUCCGUCGUGAAGAGGGAAACAACCCAGACCGCCAGCUAAGGUCCCAAAGUCAUGGUUAAGUGGGAAACGAUGUGGGAAGGCCCAGACAGCCAGGAUGUUGGCUUAGAAGCAGCCAUCAUUUAAAGAAAGCGUAAUAGCUCACUGGUCGAGUCGGCCUGCGCGGAAGAUGUAACGGGGCUAAACCAUGCACCGAAGCUGCGGCAGCGACACUGUGUGUUGUUGGGUAGGGGAGCGUUCUGUAAGCCUGCGAAGGUGGCCUGUGAGGGUUGCUGGAGGUAUCAGAAGUGCGAAUGCUGACAUAAGUAACGAUAAAGCGGGUGAAAAGCCCGCUCGCCGGAAGACCAAGGGUUCCUGUCCAACGUUAAUCGGGGCAGGGUGAGUCGACCCCUAAGGCGAGGCCGAAAGGCGUAGUCGAUGGGAAACAGGUUAAUAUUCCUGUACUUGGUGUUACUGCGAAGGGGGGACGGAGAAGGCUAUGUUGGCCGGGCGACGGUUGUCCCGGUUUAAGCGUGUAGGUGUGUGUUCCAGGUAAAUCCGGUUCACUUUAACACUGAGGCGUGA